CAAUGAGGGCGCAGGGAGAGCCGUGCGUGAUGUCUCUUGUUUGUGUGAACGGGAUAUUUUAGGAGGCUGCAGGAGCAGCGAGCUUCUCACCCCGGAGGAGCUGCAGGAACCGAGCGAGGCUCCGACUUCUGGCCGAGCUGGAGCGACGCUGAAUCGGUUUGAGGACGGUAGAUGUCGCGCCAAGGAGCGGAGGGCAUCAACGGAGAGAGAGGCUUUACUAAGUGGGAUUUACUGAACCGCUGCUGGACAGAUUUAUAAAGGAGCCUGAGGGCGAUGUGGAGGCUCAGAUCAACUCAGACGCUCUGAUUUACACUCUGGUCAGAGAGCUGAGCGUUGGCUGUGGAGCGUCAGCAGCAGCCCCUUCCCCGUAAGAGAGACCAAACCAUUCAACAACGUCGAAAGUUGCUUACUUCAAGAGGAAAUAUGCGGAGGAGGAGGAUUUACACGGAGGCCUACAUGGAUAUUUUCAAAAACACCUGAUACUGCAGGAGGACCGGAGCUGCAUCCUGAAGCUCUCCCUGGAGAAGCUGAGGUUCCUGGAGGACCCCGAGGCCUACCUGCGGCGCUCCGUCCUCAUCAACAACCUGCUGAGGAAGAUCCACCAUGAGGAGGAGGAGCUGGAGGCUGAAGAAGAGGAAGAGGAAGAAGAUGAAGUAGAAGAAGAAGAAGAAGAAGAGGAAGAGGAGGAGGAGGAGGAGGUCAUAGGAGAGAGGAUGCAGCGGAGGCUGUUGUACCCGGACAGGAAGAGGGUGAAGGUGCUGGUGAUGGACUGCUGCUCCCCGGCGUUCGGCCUGGAGGAGCUUCAGCAUUACCGGCUGGUGCCCUGUUACCCGUCGGCCGGAUGCCUGUACAGCCUGGGUACCUGCCCGGGCCUCACCCCCAACCACCAAGUCCUUCUGUACAACCUGGACGAUAAUGGCUGACUGCCCAGACCCUCGCUGUCACGCCUCUAAUUCUAAGCUGAGAAAUGCAACUUGCAGUUCACGUUACGGAACGUGGACAAAAUCACCAGGGAGGACACCUUCUUAGUAAAAACUGUUAAGGGACAGGUGACGUAGGUCUGUUUAUAGUUUGCUGUCAGGACGUCACCUUUGCUGAAAGGCAGCUGUGGAUUUGUACCCUGACAAACCCUGAUUCUUCUUCGGCCUCAGGAUCAGCAGGGUUCUCCGAUGUUGAUGUCAGACUCUGUCGCAGAGACACCUGAAGCAGGCAGGAUCUUUUUAUUUUAGUUUUUAUUUUUGCUGUUGAUGUUGCGAUAUUGAUUUUUACUGUUAUUGUUGCUCAUGUGAACCGUGAGCAUAUUCAGGGAUUUACAAGACGGCAAGCUACUUUUUAACGCACCUUGGCUUGGGUGGAGAAUAUGUGCUGAUGUAUGCUUCGGUUAUCUUUUAAUUUCUACCGUGUGAUUUAUGAAAUAUUCUGUGUAACAUUCCCUGGACUGUGUGAACUGUCAUUGCUACUCAGGUGUGUUUACUGCCUGUUGGAUGGCUGUUUUCUUUCUAUGUUAUUUGAUGUUCUGUGUUCAUUCAGCGUGCUGCUCAGUUAUUUUUCUUCUUGCACUACCUUGCUGCCCUCUGCUGGUGAAAGAACUCAUCUCCAAGCCCUUGUUUUAGUGGCUGAUGCAUUCAAAUCCCACAAUGCAAUAAAAAAAGAUAAUAAGAAAAGAUGGUAACACUUUACUAUAAGUGUCCCUAUUGUACAUUUAUAGGUAUUUAAUAGAUUGUUUACGACACACUAUAAUACAAUUGUGUUAUAAUUCAAUUAAAGCACAGAUAUAAUAAUAUAAAAUAUGUCUAAAGAGAAUUUAUAAAUGUUGAAAAAUACUAUAUAUUUAUAAACAUGUGCAAUUACAUUAUAGUGUGCUAUAAACCAUAUAUUAAAAUGUAUGUUUACAAUGCUAAAAUGGGGUAAAGUAAUGUUUUUCCAACAGGGGUACUAAUCUUUCUUUUUGUUGUUUUCCCUUUUUAGUUAUAUGGUGAAAAAAGUAAUGUUUUGCUUUAUUUGUGGUUUAAAAAAAAGGAGAUCUCUUCUCAUUCUCUUCAACACUAAGAACAUUUCCAAAAAUGUUGGCACCCUGUGUAAAGUAUAGAAAAUAGAAACAAAAUCUGAUGAUGUGCAAAACAUUGAAACCAUAUUUAAUUUAAAAAUAGCACAAAGACAACUGAUCAAAUGUUUUUGUUGUUUGGAAAAUGAAAUGCCCGUUUCAAAUUUGAUGCCAGCAACACGUUUCAAAAAAGUUGGGACAGCGGCAAAACAAAAGACUGGAAAUGUUGUGAAAUGCUAAAAGAAAACACGGCGUAGAACAUCUUACAAAUAAUUAAUUAUCAAGUGGCAAAAGAAUAGUAACAUGACUGGGUAUUAAAAGAGUUGUUCUGAAGUAAAGAUGGGGAGGGCUUCACCACUCUGUGAAAGACUGCGCUCACAAGUAGUAAUGUUUCUCACCAUAAAAUUGAAACUGGGUAUUUUAUUCUCUACGGUACAUCACAUAAUUAAAAGAGUCAGAGAAUCUGAAUAAAUCUCUGUACGCAAAGGACAAGGCCGAACCUGAUUCUGUAGUGGACAUCACUGCAUGGGCUCAGGAACGCUUCCGUGAACAAAGCUCGUCGCUGCUUCCACAAAUGCAUGCUGAAUACUCUACUAUUAAAUUAAAUGAUGAUCAAUGUUUUCCACGUCAUCACAUUUUGUUUCUAUUUAAAUUUUACACAGUGUGCAAACUUUUUUUUGAAAGAUUUUCAGCCCUGUUGUGGUUUUAAAGUAGAGAGCAGAAUGUGUUUAAAUUUAUAUUAUAUUCCAUAUUUUCAAACUAUCAAUCUCUGGUUAUAAUGCAGAUGACAUGUUGUCACAUGGGACUGAGUUUUGCUUAUAAAGCUUAGCUGACUGAUCUGCUGUAUGACAACUGUGAUAUAACGAUUCAUCCUCUUUCAGUGUCUCUUUCUGUGUUUUGAGUGUUCGGUCUCUGUCCAGGAGUUUCACUGGGUUUGAAAAUGUGCGUCUUGAUAACAAUCACCAUAAUGGAAGACAACAACUACAACAACAAACUGCAGGCAACUAUUAAAGAGAAAGAGGUUUUAGGAAUUUAUAUUUUGAUGAAAAAAUGCAUAUUCCAUAUUUAAGAUAAAGUAUUUUGAAAAAGGUGAUUGAUAAUCAAAUA